GUCCGAGAUUCCGUCCAUGUCUCACUUGAGACUCUCAAUGAACAAAAGUAGCAAGCCUUCAUUUAAAUGGCGAAGGGUUUUGCUCAAAGUUAGCGGAGAAGCACUUGCUGGAGACCACUCUCAGAACAUUGACCCUAAGGGAGGUGGCAGCAGUGACUCGCCUUGGCAUUGAGUGGGAUGGAGCUGGACAGGAGCGAUUCAAGACUAUAACAAGCAGUUAUUAUAGAGGAGGGGAUACCAAAGAUACCAGUAGAUCAUCAGAGAAAAAUUCAAUUGAAGAAGAGAUUGAAACUUAAACUGCUGAAGCACAAAUAUUUUCUAGCAAAAAUUGGGGAAGAAGAGAAAGCAGUGAGACAACUCAUGAUGAGGCACAGUCAGAAAAUAAAUUUCUUUGACUUGCUUUAUUUUGGCCUUUUUUUUCUAAAUCAUGCACACAUCUUGGUUUGAUUCGUGCCUUAGCUGUACGGAUAAUUUGCAUGUGUUUAUUUUGUUAUCAAUUUAUAAAGCUUUAAAGCGAA